UACGAAGGGGGGCUAGCGUUGCUCGGAUUGACUGGGCGUAAAGGGCGCGUAGGCGGUUCGUACAGUCAGACGUGAAAUUCCUGGGCUCAACCUGGGGGCUGCGUUUGAUACGUGCGGGCUUGAGUGCGGAAGAGGGUCGUGGAAUUCCCAGUGUAGAGGUGAAAUUCGUAGAUAUUGGGAAGAACACCGGUGGCGAAGGCGGCGACCUGGUCCGAUACUGACGCUGAGGCGCGAAAGCGUGGGGAGCAAACAGG
rnacentral:rRNA from 1 species